UUAUCUUCGGAGAAGCUCUUGAUCGAAGCCCCGGUAAACGGCGGCCGUAACUAUAACGGUCCUAAGGUAGCGAAAUUCCUUGUCGGGUAAGUUCCGACCUGCACGAAUGGUGUAACCAUGGCCACGCUGUCUCCACCCGAGACUCAGUGAAAUUGAAAUCGCAGUGAAGAUGCUGUGUACCCGCGGCUAGACGGAAACACUUGAGACUAAGAUUUCCGAAUGGGGAAACCCACCUGUUUACAGGUAUCGUUAACUGAAUACAUAGGUUAACGAGGCGAACGCGGAGAACUGAAACAUCUAAGUACCCGUAGGAAAAGAAAUCAACCGAGAUUCCGGAAGUAGCGGCGAGCGAAACCGGAACAGCCCUUAAGCUUAUUAGUGAUUAGUGGAAUGCUCUGGAAAGGGCAGCGACACAGGGUGAUAGCCCCGUACAUGAAAAUCUAUAGUAAGUGAAAUCGAGUAGGUCGGGACACGUGUUAUCUUGACUGAAUAUAGGGGGACCAUCCUCUAAGGCUAAAUACUCCCAACUGACCGAUAGUGAACCAGUACCGUGAGGGAAAGGCGAAAAGAACCCCUGUGAGGGGAGUGAAAUAGAACCUGAAACCGUGUACGUACAAGCAGUAGGAGCACCUUCGUGGUGUGACUGCGUACCUUUUGUAUAAUGGGUCAGCGACUUAUAUUUUGUAGCGAGGUUAACCAAUUAGGGGAGCCGUAGGGAAACCGAGUCUUAACUGGGCGUAUAGUUGCAAGGUAUAGACCCGAAACCCGGUGAUCUAGCCAUGGGCAGGUUGAAGGUUGAGUAACAUCAACUGGAGGACCGAACCCACUAACGUUGAAAAGUUAGGGGAUGACUUGUGGCUAGGAGUGAAAGGCUAAUCAAACCGGGAGAUAGCUGGUUCUCCCCGAAAUCUAUUUAGGUAGAGCCUCGGACGAAUACUUACGGGGGUAGAGCACUGUUAAGGCUAGGGGGUCAUCCCGACUUACCAACCCUUUGCAAACUCCGAAUACCGUAAAGUAAUAUCCGGGAGACACACGGCGGGUGCUAACGUCCGUCGUGAAGAGGGAAACAACCCAGACCGCCAGCUAAGGUCCCAAAGUGUAUGUUAAGUGGGAAACGAUGUGGAAAGGCCCAGACAGCCAGGAGGUUGGCUUAGAAGCAGCCAUCCUUUAAAGAAAGCGUAAUAGCUCACUGGUCGAGUCGGUCUGCGCGGAAGAUGUAACGGGGCUAAACAUACCACCGAAGCUGCGGCUGCGUACUUAUGUAUGCGGGGUAGGGGAGCGUUCUGUAAGCCGUUGAAGGUGAACCGGGAGGUUUGCUGGAGGUAUCAGAAGUGCGAAUGCUGACAUGAGUAACGAUAAUGCGGGUGAAAAACCCGCACGCCGGAAGACCAAGGGUUCCUAUCCCAUGUUAAUCAGGGUAGGGUGAGUCGACCCCUAAGGCGAGGCGGAAACGCGUAGUCGAUGGGAAACGGGUUAAUAUUCCCGUACUCGGCAUGAAUGCGAUGGGGAGACGGAGCAGGCUAGGCAAGCAUGGCGUUGGUUGUCCAUGUGAAAGUAAGUAGGUUGAGAACUUAGGCAAAUCCGGGUUCUUAAGACUGAGAUACGAGACGAGUCACUACGGUGAUGAAGUUGUUGAUGCCAUACUUCCAGGAAAAUCCUCUAAGCUUCAGUUCAUGCUGAAUCGUACCCCAAACCGACACAGGUGGUCAGGUAGAGAAUACUAAGGCGCUUGAGAGAACUCGGGUGAAGGAACUAGGCAAAAUAGUACCGUAACUUCGGGAGAAGGUACGCUGCUGACGGUGAUAGGACUUGCUCCUUAAGCUGUUGGCAGUCACAGUAACCAGGUGGCUGGGACUGUUUAUUAAAAACACAGCACUGUGCAAAAUCGAAAGAUGACGUAUACGGUGUGACACCUGCCCGGUGCCGGAAGGUUAAUUGAUGGGGUUAUCUUCGGAGAAGCUCUUGAUCGAAGCCCCGGUAAACGGCGGCCGUAACUAUAACGGUCCUAAGGUAGCGAAAUUCCUUGUCGGGUAAGUUCCGACCUGCACGAAUGGUGUAACCAUGGCCACGCUGUCUCCACCCGAGACUCAGUGAAAUUGAAAUCGCAGUGAAGAUGCUGUGUACCCGCGGCUAGACGGAAAGACCCCGUGAACCUUUACUACAGCUUGGCACUGAACAUUGAACCUACAUGUGUAGGAUAGGUGGGAGACUUUGAAGCAGCGACGCUAGUUGUUGUGGAGUCGUCCUUGAAAUACCACCCUUGUAGUUUUGAUGUUCUAACGUAGGUCCCUAAUCGGGAUUGCGGACAGUGCCUGGUGGGUAGUUUGACUGGGGCGGUCUCCUCCCAAAGAGUAACGGAGGAGCACGAAGGUUUGCUAAGUACGGUCGGACAUCGUACGGUUAGUGUAAUGGUAGAAGCAAGCUUAACUGCGAGACGGACAAGUCGAGCAGGUACGAAAGUAGGUCAUAGUGAUCCGGUGGUUCUGAAUGGAAGGGCCAUCGCUCAACGGAUAAAAGGUACUCCGGGGAUAACAGGCUGAUACCGCCCAAGAGUUCAUAUCGACGGCGGUGUUUGGCACCUCGAUGUCGGCUCAUCACAUCCUGGGGCUGAAGUCGGUCCCAAGGGUAUGGCUGUUCGCCAUUUAAAGUGGUACGCGAGCUGGGUUUAGAACGUCGUGAGACAGUUCGGUCCCUAUCUGCCGUGGGCGUUUGAGAAUUGAGAGGGGCUGCUCCUAGUACGAGAGGACCGGAGUGGACGAACCGCUGGUGUUCGGGUUGUGAUGCCAAUCGCAUUGCCCGGUAGCUACGUUCGGAAUCGAUAAGCGCUGAAAGCAUCUAAGCGCGAAGCGAGCCUCGAGAUGAGUUCUCACUUGGAGUUUAACUCCACUAAAGGGCCGUUGGAGACUACAACGUUGAUAGGUAGGGUGUGGAAGCGCUGUGAGGCGUUAAGCUAACCUAUACUAAUUACCCGUGAGGCUUAACCAU
rnacentral:rRNA from 1 species